rnacentral:lncRNA from 1 species
UUGUACUCCUCCUCUUUUUUUCUUUCUCACGCUUCUUUUUCAAACCCUCAUCUUCUUCCUCUCUCUCUUUCUUCCCUAGAAUUUCAUACACUUGAAGAAACACUAUGUAGUUUAGGGUUAGAUCUGACAAACUCAUUGAGUUUGGGGGACGAAAGAGAGUAACGGUGGUGAUGAUUUGGUUACAAACUUCUAUACGGCGGUGACACUGGAUGAUUGGACAAGAUCGGAAUCAACUGCAUACAUCUCCUUCGAUUGGUGGCUAGAGAUACUUUGCAGAGAGAUGAUGUUAAACAUCUAGGGUUUGGGAGUAUAGAUGGAUUCAUCUUUGUGGUGGGACACACUCAUGUUCUUCAAGUUAAAGGUUAUCACAGUAUGUUUGUUCUCCUUUCAUUAAGAAUAGUGGCUUGUGGAUCAUCCUAAAUUUCUCAACAACCCAUUUGGGGACAGUGCUUCCCAUGAUUGUUCAGGAAAUCUAUUAUCGUUUGUCAUCACCAAAUGGUCACCUUGUCGAGAGUGCUACAUUCUAUGAUUCGUUAGUUGGGGUCUUUCGCUAUAAACCCUUUGACGCUAAAGUUGACUAGAGUAUGGUUGCUAAGGCUUCUCCAUGUUAUGUGACAUAUCUUAAGAACUCUGUAGAUAAAAUUGUUAACUUUUUUGAAAGCAAUGCUGCCGUGAAUCAGAAGAUAGCCUUGGAAAUAGCCGUUGCUGUGCAGAUAACGAUCGAUGAGGUUAAGCGCUCUGCACAACAGCAAGUAAACAAGGCCUUGAAGGAUCAUGCCAGGUUCUUCUUGGACUUGGAUAUAGCAGCUCCCAAGAUCACCAUUCCAACUGAAUUUUCACCAGACAGUUUUCAUUCGACAAAACUCUUUCUUGACCUCGGAAACUUGAUAAUUCGUACUCAGUCUUUGAUCCCAAUCACACAUAAUGACCGGCGUUCUGCUUUACUUCCGAAUUCUCCAGUGACGUUUCCUGGCCGACAACCCUGAAUAGUUCUACCUAAUUUGGGUAUACAUGCACAAAAAAUGGCGGAAGGGCAUCAAAAUGGUAAAAAAAUAAAACCUCCACGUUCCUUUAAGAGUACAAGGUGGCGAUGACAAUAUAUUGGGAUAUAACAGUAACUGGAAGCGAAGCUACUUACAAGGUUCAUAUAGUAACUGGAAACGAAGCUACUACAAGCACGUUAUCAUUAAACAAGAAGUGAUGUUUUAUUUAUGAUGAGCAUAACAUGUUUAAUCCUUUGGACUUUCAAAUCCAACAGUUUCGAAGUUCUUGGUAGAAAGAUCAAUUUUAUGGCAGGUUCGAUAUAAUUUAGUACUUUUCUUAAUUCUUUGUUUUCCCGUAUAUAUAUUUUUCUAUUCAAAUAUUUUUUAAGAACCUUCUAUAACUUGAGAGCACUAAUUUUGCAUUGUAAUGUAUUCUUUAUUAAAGAAACAGGUCAUUAUGUUGUAAAUAUAUGGCAAAUAAUGGCUU